rnacentral:rRNA from 1 species
AUUGAACGCUGGCGGCAUGCCUAACACAUGCAAGUCGAACGGCAGCACGGCAGUAGCAAUACUGUGGGUGGCGAGUGGCGGACGGGUGGGGAAUACGUCGGAAUCUGCCCAGUCGUGGGGGAUAACUAGCCGAAAGGUUAGCUAAUACCGCAUACGACCGAGAGGUGAAAGCGGGGGACCGCAAGGCCUCGCGCGAUUGGAUGAGCCGACGUCGGAUUAGCUAGUUGGUGGGUAAAGGCCACCAAGGCGACGAUCCGUAGCUGGUCUGAGAGGAUGAUCAGCCACACUGGAACUGAGACACGGUCCAGACUCCUACGGGAGGCAGCAGUGGGGAAUAUUGGACAAUGGGCGCAAGCCUGAUCCAGCAAUGCCGCGUGUGUGAAGAAGGCCUCGGUUGUAAGNGACUUUAUCUAGACGAAAGACG